GUCAUACUGAACACAUACACAUAGUGGCGAGUCAUACUGAACACAUACACAUAGUGGUGAGUCAUACUGAACACAUACACAUAGUGGCGAGUCAUACUGAACACAUACACAUAGUGGCGAGACAGAGAUAGAGCAAACAACUCUCACUGACACAAAAUUACCCCUUAUUAUCUCAGAGAUCUCCUCCCACACACCAGCACUGGCACAAUGACUUCUAAUUGAAGCAGAUGGCUCUUAUGCAAACUCAUAGUCCCGGAUUCGGGCGACCCACUUCGAUCACCUGCCUCUUUUGCACAGGAAUCAGUAGAUUUUUGCGAAGAAUGUGUCAUAUUAUGAUAAUAUACAAUCCUGCCUUAAAAAAAAAUCACAGUACCGUGACUGCUUGAAUUAAACAAUACAUUUUCAAAAACAGAGUGUAUCAAGCACCCAAAAAUGUGCAUGUUUCUUUUCAAGCUUCUUUUCAUCUGAACGGAUGGAGGAUUUCAGUGUGUUUUAAGUGUUUGCCCCUGACACGUGCCCUGAACGUCAUGUCAAAACAAUGGCCUUGCUGUUCCUCAAAUCGGUGUUACCAUAGCAGCAGGAACUAUGGAAAGAAAAGAAGAAGAAAAGCAUCUUAAAAUAAAGUCUGGAGGAGCCAAGAGGAGUCUGCGCUUGACUCUCGGGGGACCUGGACAUGCUAUGUGGAUAGAAUUUGCACACAGGGAGCACAGACGGCUUGUGAAAUUUAGACUCCUGGCUGUGCUUUGAGUGUACGGUAUUUACUGAACCAAAACUGACUAAAAAUAAUAAAAAAUGAUUUUGUUCA